AUACAUUUAAUGUAAGUUUGAUUGAACCAAUAAUUAUUCAUUCACUGAUCUUGUUAGAGUAUGCUUCCUUAUGUGAGAAGACCCUAUAGACUGAAACCUUUCAUACUUCCAAUCUUUAUGCUGAUAUUAAUCUUCACUUGUCAUUAAUUACAAGUUUUCUCCUACUGUAAACUUUGGUCUUUGUCAGGUAUAUAUUUCAAUAAUUUUUUUCUAAUCACACUUGACACGUUAUUUUGGUCAUGCAUUUAGUUAGAUGUGAAGAUCUUUGUAACUUAUUUUGUUGAUCUGAUCGUUCUUGUGACUUUUUUCGAUUGCUUUUUGACCCUCGACUUCUUUUUCCCUUUGCUGGAACGUAACCUACUAAGCGUUUUAAUUAUACUAACAACUCUUUUUGCUCCUUUACAGGAUCAUAAAAUUGAAGACAUACAAAUCUCUAAGCGCAUAUAAAACAAUUCUGACUAAAUCUUAAANACUACAAAAUCUACACCUAAGGUAAGUGUACCAUGACCAAAUAUUUUCCUAACUAGUUGGUAUUGUCUAUACGGAUUUUAAGGGAUUGUAAGUUGUUCAAUACGACUUCCUUCCUCUUGAUGUUAGGUCUACCUUGUCAGAGCCGUACACAUGAAUUUUUUAUAAGCGGCAUCACAUUUAAAAAAGUGAGAAAUGAGAUUCUCGACAUUGCUACAACCUUGGUUCAUCCGCCCGGGUAUAAACCUUAUACUUAAAAAUACCCCCCCCCCCCCCAAUUAAUGAAAUUUUUUAUAAGCGGCGUCACAUUUAAAAAAGUGAGAAAUGACAUUCUCGACAUUGCUUCAACCUUGGUUCAUCCGCCCGGGUGUAAACCUUAUACUUAAAAACACCCCCCCCCCCCCCAAAUUAAUGCAUUCAUCUUGAAUCAAGUAACAAUAAAAGAAAAAGUCACAUAUUUCGUUACACUAUACUCCAAUAUAUUAUACUUAACAAAUCUUAGAUCAAAGCAACAAAUUUAUCAUAUAUUUUAUGUAAGAACAGUUGUAAUUUCAAGGUUGGAUAAGAUUUUUUUGAAGANUAUGCAUUUAAAUUAUGCUCUUCUUAUUUCAUCAUGGUUGUUUGAAUAAUAUUUUUGAGUUGCCAAUCUUUUUCCAGGGUCAACCUUUAAUGAAUUUAAAUUAACUCCUCCAAUUUAUCGAUGUUGCUCCGACCAUUGACCCUUUCUUCCAAAUUAGAUGAAUUUUGAGUUUUUGAACAUGAUUUCAAAGUUUGAUAGAUGCUUUAGGAUAAUCUAUUGAAAUCCAAGUUGAAUUGUAAAUCAAAAUCUUUAUUUGAGAACCUACGAAUAAUGUUAUAGAGUACACCCAUAAAGUAAAACUAUUUAAAGAAAUUCUAAAAAAAGAGAGUAAAAGAUCGAAAUAAUGAAAAAGUAAUAAGAGACACAAUUUCUUGCCCUUUUUACCGGCCAACAUCCUCAAAUUUUUUUUUUUGGGAAAAUGCAUAAGUACCCCCUGACCUAUACCUAGAUUUCCAACUCCACACUUUAUCUUUGCGAAAAUCCUAUUACCCCCUAAACUAUUUUAAAGUAGAAUUAUUUACACCCUUAACGAUGACGUGACAUAGUGUGUGUAUUUCACUCUCCUUUCAGAUUUUCAGAUUUUUUUCUUCUUUUUUACUAUUUUUUCUUACUUUUUCCUUCCUUUUCCUUUUCCUUUUUCUUUGUCUUUUUUUUUUACUUCUUUUUUCGUUUUUCUCUAAUUCCGGCGGAUAUUCAUUCACCGGCGACUAUUCAUUCACCAGCAAUUUUGUUUAACCGUUUUUAUUUAUUCUGUUUUUCUUUUUCAUCUUUUUACCCUCUUCACACACAAAUUAAACUCUCAAAAAGAUCCAUUCAUAAUGAAAGCAAAAUACACUUAAAUUUGGGGAGAAAAUUCAUCAUCGGAAAACCUUCCCACGCCGGAAAAAAUUGAUGUAUUGAAAUUUUAACUGGAAAAACUCUUCUUAGCUUAUAUUCGUUUUUAUUUCUUUUGCUCUUCCUCCCACAUAUAAAUUAUACUUUCAAGAAAAUUAUA
rnacentral:lncRNA from 1 species